rnacentral:rRNA from 1 species
AUUGAACGCUGGCGGCAGGCCUAACACAUGCAAGUCGAGCGAGCGGCGGGCGGGGGUGUAUUGUAUGUGGGCUGCCCGUUAGGGGGGGGUAACACCUGGGGACGGUAGCUAAUACCGCAUACUAUCGGAUAACCCAUAGGGGAUUAGCUAGUAGGUGAGGUAAUGGCUCACCUAGGCGACGAUCCCUAGCUGGUCUGAGAGGAUGAUCAGCCACACUGGGACUGAGACACGGCCCAGACUCCUACGGAGGCAGCAGUGGGGAAUAUUGCACAAUGGGCGCAAGCCUGAUGCAGCCAUGCCGCGUGUAUGAAGAAGGCCCUAGGGUUGUAAAGUACUUUCAGUGGGGAGGCGUUACCGACAGAAGAAGCACCGGCUAACUCCGUGCCAGCAGCCGCGGUAAUUC